rnacentral:rRNA from 1 species
UACGAAGGGGGCUAGCGUUGCUCGGAAUCACUGGGCGUAAAGCGCACGUAGGCGGCUUGUUAAGUCAGGGGUGAAAUCCUGGAGCUCAACUCCAGAACUGCCUUUGAUACUGGCGAGCUUGAGUCCGGGAGAGGUGAGUGGAACUGCGAGUGUAGAGGUGAAAUUCGCAGAUAUUCGCAAGAACACCAGUGGCGAAGGCGGCUCACUGGCCCGGUACUGACGCUGAGGUGCGAAAGCGUGGGGAGCAAACAGG